UACGUAGGGUCCGAGCGUUGUCCGGAAUUAUUGGGCGUAAAGGGCUCGUAGGCGGUCUGUUGCGUCGGGAGUGAAAACUUACAGCUUAACUGUGAGCGUGCUUCCGAUACGGGCAGACUUGAGGUAUUCAGGGGAGAACGGAAUUCCUGGUGUAGCGGUGAAAUGCGCAGAUAUCAGGAGGAACACCGGUGGCGAAGGCGGUUCUCUGGGAAUAUCCUGACGCUGAGGCACGAAGGUCAGGGGAGCAAACGGG
rnacentral:rRNA from 1 species